UACGAAGGGGGCGAGCGUUGUUCGGAUUUACUGGGCGUAAAGGGCGCGCAGGCGGCUCAUUUUGUCAGGCGUGAAAGCCCCGGGCUUAACCUGGGAACUGCGUUUGAUACGGAUGGGCUAGAGUUCGGGAGAGGAGAGUGGAAUUCCCAGUGUAGAGGUGAAAUUCGUAGAUAUUGGGAAGAACACCGGUGGCGAAGGCGGCUCUCUGGACAAAUCCUGACACUGAGGCACGAAAGCUAGGGGAGCAAACAGG
rnacentral:rRNA from 1 species